rnacentral:snRNA from 1 species
GUGGCAACACAGAUGCUAAAAGUGGGAUGACACAAAGAACACUGGCAUGGCCCCUGCGCAGUGAUGCUACACCAAUGUGGAAAGUGCUCCAUUAUUUU